rnacentral:tRNA from 2 species
GCCAGCAUAGCUCAGUCGGUAGAGCAGCUCACUCGUAAUGAGCAGGUCAACGGUUCGAAUCCGUUUGCUGGCU